AUUUCAAAAAAAUUAAAUUCUCUUUAUUAUUUAUAUUUUAACAAUAAUUAAAAUUAUAAAAAAAAAAUUAGUUUAUUUCAUUUUUUUAAAAAAAUUUAAUUUAAAUAUAAAAUUUUACAAAAAUAUUAUAAAAUUUACUAAGUAAAAUAAUAUUUUUUACCUUUUGUAUCAGGGAAAAUUAAAAUACAAAAAAAUUCUUAAAUCUCGAAAUAAAAAAAUCUAAUUUUUUAAAAUUAUUAAUAUUUCAAUAUUAUAUUUAAUAAAAAAUUUGAAACUAUAUAUUAAUCAAUUUUUAUAAUAUCUAGUUAUUUAAAAAAUGAAUUUAAUUCAAUUAUAUAAAAAUUUUAAAUUUAAAAUAUUUCUUUUUUUUUAUUUAAUUUAUAUAAAAAUAAUAUAAGGGAUAAACUUUAUAUUAACUAUAAAAUUUAUAAUAAAAAAUUUUAACAAUAUAAAAAUAAAAAUUUUUUCUAUUUUUAAAAAUUUAAUAAUUUAUUAAUCUUAAAAAAUAUAUUUAAUAUUAAUUUAUAUAAAAUUUUAUUAAAUUAAAAUUUAUAAUAAAAAUAAAUUUUAAAUAAUGAUUUUAUUAGUAAAUUAAAAAUUUUAAAUUAAUAUAAAUAUUUUAAAAAAAUUAAUUUAAGGAACUAGGCAAAAAAAUUUAAUUAAUUAAAUUUAAAAUAUAUUCAACUGUUUAACAAAAACAUAGUUUUUUGAACUUAAUUUAAAAUAAAAUCUGCUCAAUGAAAAAAUUUAAAUAGCUGCAGUAACAUAACUGUACAAAGGUAGCAUAAUAAUUAGAUUUUUAAUUAAAAUCUAGAAUGAAAGAUUACAUGAAAUAUAUACUGUCUCAAAUUAAUUAAUUUAAAUUAAUUUUUAAGUAAAAAAUCUUAAAUAAUUUUAAAAGACGAGAAGACCCUAUAGAAUUUUAUUUAAUUAUAAAUAAUUUUAUAAAUUAUUUUUAAAAUAAAUUAUUUAUAAUAAAAUUUUUUUGGGGCAAAUUUAAAAUUUAUUAAACUUUUAAUUUUUUAAAACAUUAUAUAAAUGAAUUAUUAAUCCAAAUAUUUUGAUUAAAAAAAUUAAUUACCUUAGGGAUAACAGCAUAAUUUAUUUUUUUAGUUCUCAUAUUUAAAUAAGUUUAUGACCUCGAUGUUGAAUUAAGAUAAAAUUAAUAUGAAAAAAAAUUAAAAUUUAAGUCUGUUCGACUUUUAAAAUCUUACAUGAUUUGAGUUAAAAUCGGCGUAAGCCAGAUUGGUUUCUAUCUUUAAUAAAAUUAUAUAUUAUUGUACGAAAGGAACUAAUAUUUAAAAUAAUUUUUUAUUAAUUUUAUAAUAAAUAUAAAUAAUUUAAUUU
rnacentral:rRNA from 1 species